rnacentral:lncRNA from 1 species
AACUUAUUUUUUAAUAUUAGUAACUUAUGGUUUGAUUUUCUGUAAUUGCAUAUUAGUAUGGUGAGGAGUUACAUGUCUUUUGGAUUUUUAGUCAUGUGGAAGUUACAUGUCUUUUGGAUUUUUAGUCAUGUGGGAGUUACAUGGAGUUAUAAGGAAUUUAUUUAGAGGGAGUUAUUUGAGAUUUAUUUGGGGUUAUGAAUGGUGUAAUGACCAAUUCAAUUAGGAAGGU